UUAGAUACCCUAUUAUUCCUAAACCAAUGUCAACCUAAAGGAAUAACUGCUAUAAGCCCUAAACCUAAAGGAUUUGGCGGUGUUUUACCGAACCAGAGGAACCCGUUCUAUAACCGUCAAAACGCGAAACAUCUAACCCAAAGAAAGCUCAUAUACCGUCAUUUAAAUUACGCUUACAAGCUAUAUUAAAACAGAACAACUACCAAAUUAGACAAGGUGUGGCAUCUUUGGGGAAGAAUAGGUUACAUUUUACAAACAAGUGGAAUCUUUAUGAAAAAUAGAAGAAAAAGGAUUUGUUAGUAAU
rnacentral:rRNA from 1 species